GGUUAUAUAGCUCAGUGGCACAGUGCCUGUCUUGAAAGCAUGAGGUCCUGAGUUCAAUACCCAGUACCA
rnacentral:tRNA from 1 species